UUCGCUGCUGCUGUUGGCCAGAUCGGCCAGCUCGCCACCGCCCCUGCCCAGAGCCCCCACUGCCCUGCCGGCAGGCAGUCAUCCUGACAGCACGGUGGCGCUCCAAGGAAGGCAAGAGAAGGACCUGGUCCUCCAAAGCCACCUCCUAAACUCUAGCCCCUCUGCCGAGACCGGAGAGGGACAGCAAGCCAGGAAAAGAGCUUGUGAAGCCAUCAAGCAGAAACCAGUGGAGAAGUUGGCUGUUCCGUCUGCCGUGCUCCUUUGCUAUGGAAGCCACCCAGGGCAGGACUAAGUGCCCGCACAUCCAGAAGAACGUGUCCAGCUCCCAGCUGUCGUGCCCCUCCAUCUAGUAUAGCUGCCACCCAGCAAUUAGCACGCCCGGGUUCUCCUUUGGAAAAGGAUCGGGGAACAAUGCCACGGCGAGUCCUCCUGGACCAGAAAGCAGGUGAGUCCAGCAUGGAAAACACAGGUAAAUGAUCCCUUUGGCCAUUGUUUCAUUGCUGUCAGACAAACCACUAGCAAGCUGAGCCUGGUCUUACACACACCUCCUGGGCCUUGAAAGGGAUGCAAAAAAGGAGGAGAAACAGAGGAGAAACAAAAAUCCACGGCAGCGUGCCGAGAUUGAAGUCCCCUGGCAUAUUCUAUUAUCUUCUCCUGUAUACUUAAAUUGACUCCCAAGCUCCCUGCUCCUUAGGUGGUAUGUGUAUAGAUCUCACUUCUUGGCCGUCGGUGAGGACUGCUAGGUAAAAUACGGGACACCCAGUUAAAUGUGAAUAUUGCUUAAACGGUGAAUAAUUCUUUCCUGUAUGUCCCCUCCAAUACUUGGGAUGUAGUCAAUCAAUCCUUACUCAUUUUUUCCUCUAAAAUUCAAAGAUAACA